CACCAUGGAACCUAGCUGAGAGGAAGCCCAGGCAACGUGGUGAUGCCACACAUGGGUAUUCUGCUCAACAGCCCCAGCUAAGGUCCCAGCCAACAGCCAGCUUUGACUACCAGACAUGUGAAUGAAUGAACCUUCAGAUAACUCCAGCCCCACCUUUGAGUCUUUCAGCUGAGCCUCAGACACUAUGAAGCAGACUAGCUGUCCUCAAAAUGCCGUGUGCGAAUUCCUGACCUACAGGAACCAUGAAAAUAGUAUAGCCAAAUAUUUGUCCAAAGCAGUUGAGCCAGCAACGUAAGAGAGUUCCAAUUGCUUCCUGUCUUCACCAGCGUUUGGGAAACAUUCUGAACAGUGACUGGAUCAUCCAAUACGCGUUUGUGGAAAGCAGAAUGGCGGAGAGGGACGUGGAAGGAUAGAGAAAGAGACGCAGGAGGGGAAGAAGAAUGCAGCAGCUGUGAUGCAAUUCCAGUCCCAGGCCUUAAGAAGAUCUGGCAGCUUCUGCUUUUGCUCCCUGGGGGAAGCCAGCCCGCUGUGAGCAGUCCAACUAUCCUGAGAGAUCACCUGGAGAGGCCAAGCAGAGGAGAACUGAGGAACCCAGCCAACACCAAGGACUGAAGCCUAGAUAUAUGACCCCACUUGAAUUGUUCCAACCAGACCUCAGCUUUUUGAGCCAUUCCAGCUGAGGCCCCAGACAUCACAGAACAGAGAUGAGCUAUUCCCACCAUGCUCUGAUCAAGUUACUGACCCACAAAGCCAUGUUCCAAUGAAAUGCUGUUUUAAGCCACUAAGUUGUGGGAUAGUUUGUUGCACAGCAAAAGAUACCUGAAACAGGAGAUAUUCACCACGAAAAUGACAAUUCCUUUCAUCAUUCUCAGUUUUUAUUCUCCUUAAAAUAUGCCUGUGGGAAGAAAACAACUCUUAAUACAAGGUAAAAGUCAUAAUAGA